CUGGCCUUCUCGCGGCUUUCCCCCGAUAUCUCUCUUUAUUCCAGCUGCCUGAAACUCGGUCCCACGAAUGGCAGGCAGCGUCCAAAAUUCAACCCCGUAAAGCCAGCACCAGCCAAUAAAGCGCACGGAUGGAGGCCACGUGACAGCAGUGGGCCGGCCCUCCGGCUGAGCCCUGAUCUCUAUGGUUUCCGCGGCUCGCUAGAAGGAGUGUGGUCCACCGGAGGACUCCCUACAUUCUUCCUCCAUUACCUCACUGCCUCCGGUGGCUGCUGGGAUACCGGAGGACUCGGGUCCCGGCUCGACUCAGUCCUCCAGCCGCCCGGGGAAUACCUCUAGUUCUUCCCGGCCGCCGCCGCCGCCGCCGCCCCGCCGCUUCCUCCUCCGCCUGCCGGCCUCCUUCGCCCCGUCCCGUCCGCGCAGCGCGUCCGGCCCGCCCGCAGGCCAGCUUCUCUCGGGAGCCCCCACCCAGGCGCAUGGCUCCAUGAAGCAAGAGGAGGAGGCAGAGCGCGAGAGGUCCCGUCCGCCCCAGCCGCGUCUGGGCCAGGAUAAAAGCAAAACCAUAUUCCUGCUGCUGUCAGUUAUGAUGCACUGAGAAAACUUCAGAGACCUAAACUUUUUCCAGAGAAGAGAAGCUUUACUGGUGUUCCAGCCCUAAGAAACCUUUGUUCAAGAAAACGGCAGAUGCUCUGUUGAAUCCACUGGAGAUUGUUCUGAUACUAAGGACAAGUAUCAACCAUCUUUCCUGUGAAAAAUUCCCUCUCGUACUUUAGUUCUGUGGAUCCAAAAUUUAUAGCAUUCUUCUACCACCACAGGGGCUCAUAUGACAUUAACAGACAAGACACUUUUCAGAAAGACAGGUAAGUCAUUUGUUAAAAUCUCACUACUGUUGUUUAACAGAAACAUAUAUAUGCAUGUAUAUGUGUGUACUGUAUGGAAAAAGUGGAAUUAGAGUUUAUCUAGAAAAGAAAAAAUUACCUCAUCUAAGUGCAGAAAUGAAUAAUACUUAAACCAUACCAUACAAUUCUCUAUCAUAUUUCCACAGAUAAGUCAAAAAUUUAAAAAAUCUUAUUGUUCAUGCAUAAAUGCAGAAAACAAUACCUCUAGUAUAUGUUUGUGUUCUAUUGUACUUUCACAGAAGGUGUUUGAUACUUAAUACUGUGUUUAUUAAGAAAAAUCUUUGCAAUGGUUAUGGAAUUAAAAUUUCAUGUAAAAAUGAUUAUGUAGAUCAAGAAAAGUUGCAAUUUUCUGGAUUCCUGAUAUUUUAAAUAAAAGUAGUUUCCAAA
rnacentral:lncRNA from 1 species